rnacentral:piRNA from 1 species
UGGAAAUAGAGAAUUGCCCAAAACUUCAAUC